UACGAAGGGGGCUAGCGUUGUUCGGAAUUACUGGGCGUAAAGCGCGUGUAGGCGGGUCUUUUAAGUCAGGGGUGAAAUGCCAAGGCUCAACCUCGGAACUGCCUUCGAUACUGCGGGUCUCGAGUCCGGGAGAGGUGAGUGGAAUUCCUAGUGUAGAGGUGAAAUUCGUAGAUAUUAGGAAGAACACCAGUGGCGAAGGCGGCUCACUGGCCCGGUACUGACGCUGAGGCGCGAAAGCGUGGGGAGCAAACAGG
rnacentral:rRNA from 1 species